rnacentral:rRNA from 1 species
AUGUUCUUCGUGAACAUGGCGAACUGCUCAGUAACACGUUUGACAACUUACCCUUAGGACUGUGAUAACCCCGGGAAACUGGGGAUAAUACCGGAUAAAUCAUAGGUGCUGGAAUGCUCUAUGGUUCAAAGCUCCGGCGCCUAAGGAUGGGUCUGCGGUCUAUCAGGUAGUAGUGGGUGUAACGUACCUACUAGCCGACGACGGGUACGGGUUGUGAGAGCAAGAGCCCGGAGAUGGAUUCUGAGACACGAAUCCUGGCCCUACGGGGUGCAGCAGGCGCGAAACCUUUACAAUGUGCGAAAGCAUGAUAAGGGAACUCCGAGUGCCAGCAUUAAAUGUUGGCUGUCCUUGUGCCUAAAACGCACAAGAUAGCAAGGGCCGGGUAAGACCGGUGCCAGCCGCCGCGGUAACACCGGCGGCCCGAGUGGUAGCCGCUAUUAUUGGGUCUAAAGGGUCCGUACCCGGUUUGAUAAUUCCUCUGGGAAAUCUGAUUGCUCAAUAAUCAGGCUGCCAAGGGAUACUGUU